GUGAGUGAUGGGUGCUGUAUGUGAGUGAGGGUGCUGUGUGGGUAAGGGUGCUGUGUGUGUGAUGGGUGCAGUGUUUGCGUAAGGGUGCUAUGUGCAUGUGAGGAAGCAGUGUGUGUGUGUGAAGGUGCUGUGAGUGUCAGGGGUGCAGUGUGUGUGAGUGUGAGUGAGGUUUCUGUGAGUGUCAGGGGUGCAGUGUGUGUGAG